GACCAGCAGCACACAAACACCAGAACGUGUGUCUGUGGUGUUUGUUCUGGUCUGGUGUCUUCAGAUGAUGGUUCUGUUGGGUCUUUUAGGAGCUUUUCACAUCUACAUGAGACACACGUCAGGAAAGAAACAAGAAGAUCAGGAAGAGGACGAGAAGAUUUAGAGAAGGACAUGAACACACAGCAGAAGAUUCAUGAGAGCAGCAGCAGAUCCAAGAUUUCCUACAUGAUUUUAGAUGUACUUGUGUACUUUUCAUUUCAAUCUCUCUUUGUUAAUUUAGACAGGAUUGGGAGAGUUCUCAUUAACCAUAGCCUAUUCUGCAAGAGGAAUGAAACUUAUGAGCUUAGGGUACUUUUGCAGACUGUCCGAGUCAGAAAAGUUUACAUUCAUGUUUAAAUG